AGCGAAAAUAGCAAUUUCAUGUCAGUUGCAAAAACGCACUUGUUCUUCCAGAUCUCAGUCCGGACACCAGCGUGCACUUGUUCCAGAGCUUUUGUGCAUUUCUAAGAUUUUAUUUCAAGCUAUUUCCUUUGAAGUAGCAGCACUAAAAUCAUUCAGUGCAAAGACACUUUUUGAUAAAAAGAACUACGCAGAACUUCGCGGAACUUGUCAGUUGGAAGUUUUAUUUUGUUAAUCUGUUCAAUUGCUUGAUUCAGUUUUGGCGACAGAUACUGAAAAUAUAAUGGCGCAUUUUUUAAAACUCCCUGUGUGUGUGCUCGGUGACACUGAUGAGUUGCUCUUUCACAUUCCCGCCCUUUUCAUAACCUAACACGAGCCCCCGCUGGCCCAGGAUUAAUGGCUCGUACCAGCUUUCCAGAUGGUCUGCGGAGACUCGGCCCCGGCAAUAAGUCAAACAGUAUGGAUAAUGCUUCGUUUGGAGAGAAACACAUUGGCCAUUGACUUUCUGACAGCAAUGAUUGGCUGCCAAGGUGUGGGAAACGCAAAGAAACUCGCACUCACGCUUCGCCUUAUAGAUUUGGAGCGAUAUAUGUCGAGGACGCUGGACAGAACUGCAGGAGACGAGAGCUUUGAGUAUUUCGACAUGACUUCAAUCAAUAUCGACAUCGGGAAUGUCAGCAACUUGGGAGUGAUAAACCCAGGAUCCCACUGGAGACAAGAAUAAACUGCUGAAGGAAGUGCAGAUGCUGUAAUUAAAAAACCUCGAAUGCAGUACCUUGAAUCAAGAACGUCAGACGCUGCCUGACCUGUUGAAUUCCUCCAGCAGCUCGUUUUGUGUUUGCUCCAGUUCCUGGCGUCUGCAGUCGCUUGUGUCUCCAUUUUACUGCUCCACUACGGUCUCUUCCAGGUAUGCCCACUUUGCAGAGAUGUUCCUCCCCUCUUCGAUGGGAGUUCUGUGAGCCCCUCUCUGACUGCUCCCCCCUCUUGUGAUUUCUACUGCCCACCUGCUCUUGGACCACGUUUUCACGCAGACUCACUGCCACAGCCACGGAUCCUUCCUUGGUAUUUGUCUUCACUGCCAUCUGGUCCCGCGUGACUUUCCAGGCCUUCCAGUUCAGUCCAAGCCAGGGUCUCGGGUAUUUACAUUCUAUUCAUGGCUUCUUCCAGCAGGUUUCCCUCUGUGUCCUGCUCUGUACGCUCGCCACCCUGCGUCAAUACGUCCUGGCCCUUUCUCUUCCUCUACCCCAGCUCUGGGCCUUGCUCUCUCAAACGUGCACCUGGACCUUUGUUCUUCUUUGACCUCUGCUGAUCCACACUUUCAACCAGCGGUUCUUCGCGUUCCUGACCUCCACAAAGGGCCACAAGCUUGCUCACAUCCAGACCGGGACACCGAUACUGUGCUGGGGUCUCACUACACCCCCACCCGCCUCUAGGCCAGGGUUCCCCGUCACCACGCAUGGAUCCUACCGCUCUUCCCCCGCUGCCGAUCACAUCUCACCCACCCACCCACCUCUGAUCUCAUAUCGAACCCAAACACCCCAACCCCAACUACUCACCCUCCCCUCUCUCCUUCGAGCCCCCUUUCCCCAACUCUCCCCAACUCUCCCCAUUACCCUGUAUUGAUCCCAUGCCUGGCCCCAGCUCCAACCCUUUCCGUGUCUUUACCAUCCCCUCUGACCUCCCUCUCUCUGAUUGGCCUGCCUUCAGUAGAGGCCUCACACUUGUACCCCUGCACCCACACCUCAACCUGUUCCGGGCCCACCAAGAGGAUGCCUUCUUCUGUAGCCUCCACCUCCGUGCCUAUUUCUUUGGCAAGGAGUUCUUACUCCCCCACUGAUGACCCCUUCUCGUGUCCCCAACACUCCUCCUCCUCUUGGACACUCACUUCUGGCCCUUUUAUCCUCUCCCACCCUUCCAUUUCCAGCUGCUGAUGCGACAUCAACUGCCUUGACUUCACUCCCUUCACCCACUCUAACCUCGCACCCUCCGAAUGCACAGCGCUCCACUCACUCUGCACCAAUCCCAACCUCACUGUUGAACCCGCAGACAAGGGCGGUGCCGCUGUGGUCUGGUGGACUCUACCUUGCAGAGGCUAGACAGCAGCUCUCAGACACUUCCUCAUACCUACUCCUGGACCAACGAUCAUCAGGCCAUCGUCUCCCAGACCAUCACAGAUCUCAUCACUUCAGGAGGUCUCCCUCCACAGCCUCCAACCUGAUAGUUCCCCCACCCCAUAACUGCCCAUUUCUAUCUCCUACCCAAGAUUCACAAGCAAGAUACAUCCCCUGGUAGGCCUAUUGUUUCUGCCUACUCUUAUCCCACUGAAUUUACCUGCUCAUACCUUGAAUCUAUCUUGCCCCCCCCCCCCCCCGCCCCCGCAGUCCUUUCACACCUAUUUCCAGGACACCUCGCAUGCUCUCCGUCAGUUAACACUAUUGCAGCGCCCGCGACCUCGGUUCAAUUCUGGUCACCGUCUGUAAGGAGUUUGUACGUUCUCCCUGUGUCUGCGUGGGUUUCCUCUGGGUGCUCCGGUUUCCUCCCACAUUCCAAAGAUGUACGGGUUAGGAAGUUGUGGGCAUGUUAUGUUGGCGUUGGAAGCAUGGCGACACUUGCGGACUGCCCCCAGAACACUCUACGCAAAAGAUGCAUUUCACUGUGUGUUUCGAUGUACAUGUGACUAAUAAAGAUAUCUUAUCUUAUCUUAACUUCCAAUUCCCUGGCCCCCAUCACCAAAGACGUCAAGUAUACACUUCCAUUCCCCAUCACAAAGGCCUUAUGGCUCUCCGUUUCUUUCUAGAACGUAGAUACAACCAAUUCUCCUCUCCUAGUGCUCUCCUCCACCUGGCAGAACUUGUGCUUACCCUGAACAACUUCUCUUUUGAUUCUUCUCAAUUUCUACAAAUCAAAUGUGUAGCCAUGGGCACUCGCAUGGGCCUUAGACAUGCUUGUCAUUUCAUUGGCUAUGUGGAGCAGUCUUUGUUCCGAACCUACCGGGGCACCACUCCCUGACUUUUUCUCUGCCACAUUGACGACUGUAUUGGUGCUGCCUCCUGCACUGAUGAAGAACUCAUCAAUUUCACAACUAACUUCCACCCUGCCCUCAAAUUCACUUGGACUAUUUCCAACACAUCUCUCUCCCUUCUAGACCUCUCUGUCUCCAUCUCAGGAGACAAACUAUCCACUGACAUUUACUACAAAUUCACUGAUUCCCACAGCUACCUGGACUCCAUCUCCUCCCACCUUGCCUCUUGUAAGGAUGCUAUCACUUUCUCUGUCCCCACUGCAUCUGUUCUUGAGAUAAGGCUUUCCACUCCAGGAUGUCUGAGAUGUCCUCCUUUUUUCAGGAAACGUGGCUUCCUCUCUACUGUGGUUGAUAGAUCCUUCACCCGCAGCAGUCCAGAUGAUGGAUCUCAACCCAAAAUAUGGACUGUCCAUUUCUCUCCAUAGAUGCUGCCUGAUCCACUGAUCAUUUUUUUUUGCUCCAGAUUCCAGCAUCUGAAGCCUUUUGUGCCUCCAUGUAAAUAACUUUAACAUCUUUUUAUGAAUGAGCUCAGAUGAGUUGAUUGGACUCUUGUCACUAUCCAUUUUGUGAUCAAUCAGUUGUGAAAAUGAAGUUGGUAUCUGAAAGAGCUGAAGUUAUUUACUGAAGUUGAAUGAAUGCUUUACAUUAGAUAUUAAAUAUUGUGGGUGUUUACAGUCUGAUAUCCUGCUGCCCUGUCUCAGAAAAUAUGUUUGAAUUUGCUGUGGAAAUGUAACUAUGCUUGGUAUUGACUUUUACCAUCACAAAUAAAAACAUUUUAA